rnacentral:rRNA from 1 species
UCGAGGAUUUUUCUCAAUGGGGGAAACCCUGAAGGAGCGACGCCGCGUGAGGGAUGAAGGUCUUCGGAUUGUAAACCUCUGUCAUCUGGGAACAAUGUGAUCCACCUAACACGUGGAUUAUUGAUAGUACCGGAAGAGGAAGCAGUGGCUAACUCUGUGCCAGCAGCCGCGGUAAUACAGAGACUGCAAGCGUUGUUCGGAUUCAUUGGGCGUAAAGGGUGCGCAGGCGGUGUGUUAAGUCGGAUGUGAAAUCUCACAGCCUAACUGUGAUAGGUCAUUCGAAACUGGCAUGCUAGAGGACUGGAGAGGAGACUGGAAUAGUCGGUGUAGCGGUGAAAUGCGUAGAGAUCGACUAGAACACCGGUGGCGAAGGCGGGUCUCUGGACAGUUCCUGACGCUCAGGCACGAAAGCCAGGGGAGCAAACGGGAUUAGAUACCCGGGUAGUCC